rnacentral:rRNA from 1 species
UACGGAGGGGGCUAGCGUUGUUCGGAAGUACUGGGCGUAAAGCGCACGUAGGCGGCUUUGUAAGUUAGAGGUGAAAGCCCGGGGCUCAACUCCGGAAUUGCCUUUAAGACUGCAUAGCUAGAGUAUGGGAGAGGGAAGUGGAAUUUCAGGUGUAGCGGUGAAAUGCGUAGAUAUCUGAAGGAACAUCAGUGGCGAAAGCGACUUCCUGGACCAAUACUGACGCUCAUGUGCGAAAUCGUGGGGAGCAAACAGG